rnacentral:rRNA from 1 species
CAGCAGUAGCCGCGGUAAUACGAAGGGGGCUAGCGUUGUUCGGAAUUACUGGGCGUAAAGCGCACGUAGGCGGACAUUUAAGUCAGGGGUGAAAUCCCGGGGCUCAACCCCGGAACUGCCUUUGAUACUGGGUGUCUAGAGUAUGGAAGAGGUGAGUGGAAUUCCGAGUGUAGAGGUGAAAUUCGUAGAUAUUCGGAGGAACACCAGUGGCGAAGGCGGCUCACUGGUCCAUUACUGACGCUGAGGUGCGAAAGCGUGGGGAGCAAACAGGAUUAGAUACCCCCGUAGUCCCUGUCUCUUAUAC